rnacentral:lncRNA from 1 species
AUGGGACAAUCCACUUCCUCUCAAACUUGCUAUGUUAGACUGUUAAUGUCGUUAAUUGAGAAUGGAGGGAGUAAGGUCUCACAAGCCAAAAUCAAGUCGUUACUCAAGGUGAUUCAAAAAGCUUAUCCUGAAUCUCCCCCAAUGGGAGUUCUAAAUGUUAAUGAGUGGGACCUGAUAGGACAAAAAUUGAAAAAAUAUAAGAAAGAGGGACACAAAGUUAUACAGACAAUCUUGAAUACGUGGAGCAUCGUCAUGAUGAGCUUAGCUGAUCAGCCUCUUCAAACCUCAGAUAAUAAGGAGAAAAAAUCUUUGCAAAAUCAAGAGACAAAGCCGCAUGCUUCUGAGUCGCAAAACUCACAUGCUGAAAGUGGCAACCAGCCCCCACUCUUUCGGGAACUGCCUGCUGCUCCAAGCUAUCCCUCAGAAGGGAUGGAAGCAAAAGAGCAAUUUACAAGCUCAGAGAUUUAUCCUCCUAUUCAUUCAAUCACUGCUAAUGCAUGCCACUCCCCACCCUCACCACCAGCCAAUGGGUCGGCUUUACAAACCUCUGCUGUGGCCACCCCUCCCCCACCUCGAUCUCCUGAGGUUACAAAACCUGUAUCAAACAGGAAAGUUCCUCACAAAAAUCCAGCAAAGGAAAAAGAGGAUAUUUCAGCAUUCCCAGUCAUAUUUACAGAAAAUCCAGAUAAUGCAGAUGAGCAAUUGACAGAGCAUGAGCCUUUGGACUAUAAAUUGUUGAAGGCACGGAGAAAUAGUGUGCUUAAGAAUGGCAGUACUGCUCCAUUCACAAUGGCGCUCCUUACAAAUUUGACACAGCAAACUCUUACACCAGGAGAUUGGAAUCUGGUAGCUGAAUCUGCCCUUAGUGGUGGUGAAUACUUAAUUUGGAAAAUGAAGUUUCAGGAUUUUUGUUCGUCACAAGCCUCGGCCAAUAGGCAGGCUGGCGUUAGUAUCCCGUAUGAACAAUUAGUGGGACAGGGAGAAUAUGAACCUGUUGCUAGGCAAAUCGCAGUCACUGCACAAGUUUAUAGUCAAAUUGCCCUCCCUGCAAAAAGGGCGUGGCAAGCUCUACCAGGGAAAGCCCCCCCCCCCCCUUACCUCUUACACAGAAAUAAUACAGAAACAAAAUGA